GAUGAACGCUGGCGGCGUGCUUAACACAUGCAAGUCGAACGGAAAGGCUCCUGCUUGCAGGGGUGCUCGAGUGGCGAACGGGUGAGUAACACGUGGGUGAUCUGCCCUGCACUUUGGGAUAAGUCUGGGAAACUGGGUCUAAUACCGGAUAGGACGUUGGUUUGGAUGCCAUUGUGGAAAGUUUUUCGGUGGGGGAUGAGCUCGCGGCCUAUCAGCUUGUUGGUGGGGUGAUGGUCUACCAAGGCGUCGACGGGUAGCCGGCCUGAGAGGGUGUACGGCCACAUUGGGACUGAGAUACGGCCCAGACUCCUACGGGAGGCAGCAGUGGGGAAUAUUGCACAAUGGGCGCAAGCCUGAUGCAGCGACGCCGCGUGGGGGAUGACGGCCUUCGGGUUGUAAACUCCUUUCGCUAGGGACGAAGCGCAAGUGACGGUACCUGGUGAAGAAGCACCGGCUAACUACGUG
rnacentral:rRNA from 1 species